rnacentral:misc_RNA from 1 species
CAUUACAGUAAAUGGGUUGUCGCUCAAAGUAGCACGCCCUCCAUACACACACACACCUUGUGCACUCUAUCUAUUACAGCCUGUCUCUAAUGCAUGUCUCGAUAAUUGUACGGAAUAGAAUACAACUUUCAACAACGGAUCUCUUGGCUUUCGCAUCGAUGAAGGACGCCGCGAAAGUGCGAAACGUAAUGUGAAUUGCAGAAUUCAGUGAAUCAUCGAAUCUUUGAACGCAUCUUGCGCUCCUUGGUAUUCCGAGGAGCAUGCCUGUUUGAGUGUCGUGAACCUCUCUCAAUCCCACCUCUGUGGGCUUGGAUUUGGAUGAAAUGCCAGGGGUGAUCGUUCUGAUAAUAUCUUGGCUCAUCCUAAAUUCAUCAGCUGGUCUUCUAUACGAGUUUGGUGGUGUGAUAGGAAACACUUGUAGCGCCAUUUCAAAACCUGGGGACUUGACCUGCUUACAAUCUCAUUUUGACCUCAAAUCAGGUAGGACUACCCGCUGAACUUAAGCAUAU